rnacentral:rRNA from 1 species
UGUGGAGCCGUAGCGAAAGCGAGUCUGAAUAGGGCGUUUAGUAUUUGGUCGUAGACCCGAAACCAGGUGAUCUACCCUUGGUCAGGUUGAAGUUCAGGUAACACUGAAUGGAGGACCGAACCGACUUACGUUGAAAAGUGAGCGGAUGAACUGAGGGUAGCGGAGAAAUUCCAAUCGAACCUGGAGAUAGCUGGUUCUCUCCGAAAUAGCUUUAGGGCUAGCCUCAAGUGAUGAUUAUUGGAGGUAGAGCACUGUUUGGACGAGGGGCCCCUCUCGGGUUACCGAAUUCAGACAAACUCCGAAUGCCAAUUAAUUUAACUUGGGAGUC